CCCGCGCUCUCUGCGCCCCCGACACCUCCAACGACCUCCGCCCGCCUGCCUCCGCGCCGACGCCUCCCCCGACCUCCGCCCGCCCGCCUCCGCGCCACCCCGCCGGAUGGGCCCCGAUCCCUGCGGCGCCCCGGACCUCCGCCCCUGACGACCGCCCCCGCCCCCCUCCCCCCCCACCCCGACCUCCGUCCGGACCGCGUGGCCCGAUCCGGCGCCGGCCCCUCCCUACACGGUCUGCAAGGAAGUGCCGGCUAGCGGCGAGCUCCCCUCCAGCCCCCCUCCGGCGAGCUCCCGUUCUGUGGCUGCUGGUGCAUUGUCCAUCAAGAUAGGUCAAUUUAUCCUGAGCUGCUCCUUCCUCCCCAAGUCGUGCCAACCAAACACAAUUAUGUUGCUGCAACUAUCUUGUUCUUGAUGUGUUACUACAGAUCCAUGAUGGUAUAUGAUUUUUGUUCUUGAUGUGUUGCUACUGAUCCAUAUUGAUGUAAAAUGUGACUGAUGAGCAGUAGAAGAGAUAUAUAUUGUUGCUCUGCGAGUGGGCAGGAGCGGGAGGGAUUGGAUUAAUUAAUUUCUCGGCAAAGGAUUAUCACUGCCGGCCCGUAACAUGGACCGGCGGUGAUAUACACAUUAUCACUGCCGGUCCGUGUUAUGGGCCGGUGGUGAUAAUCCAUUUUCACUGCUGAUAUUUCACCACCGGCACGCAAAACCGACGGUGAAAAUAGGUUUAGGGCCGGCAGUGAAAAUCGAUCUGUAGUAGUGAUUUAUAACCAUAUUAGUUACUUUGUUUUACUUUACAUAUUGUUUAUCAAUGUUUUUGCUUA